CCCGCUGCGAUCAAUGCUUAUUGUGGUAUC
rnacentral:sRNA from 1 species